ACAUAAAUCUUGUGCUCUUGUUGGGGAAUAUUGGCAAGAUACAUCCCAGGAAAUAAAAGUGGUGGAACAAAAGAUAGGCACUUUUAUAUUUUUUGUAAAUAUUACCAGAUAGUUAUAUAAAAUACACAGUUACUAAGAGUGUCCUUCACUGUUUUCUAAAGAACGUUUUGGAGUUAUUUACUAUAGAAAAGUAUGGAGGAAAAACCAAAAAUGUUCCAUAGCCGCCGUUGAAAUUUACAAUAGAGAAUUGAAAUAUUUUCUUUCAGUGGCCUUUACCUCUUGGUGUCUCAGUUCACAUCGUGAUUUUCAUUGCUCGUGGCGGAUCCGCACCAAAGCUGAGAGAAUCCAGUCUGCCUGCUGCUUUGUUAGGAAUCUGUGAUGUCACCAAUGGAGACAGGAGAGGAGAUACCACAGCAUUUGAAGCAAGUGGGAAGCAACCUACAAAGAUCAGGACUUCCAGAAGCCCAUGGAAAGGCUGAGAUGCCAGUCAAUGAGGAAUGUUCUAUCCUGGGAGGCAGACCCUUAUGACAUCAGACCAACAUCUGUUAUUCUACUGUCAAUAUUUGAGAAAAUUAAGUGGACAACUGCAUAAUUUUUCCCCUGCUCUGAGUGCUCUGGGACCCACCCGAUCAUCAUUCAGCUUUCAAGUCACGUCAUUCCCUUCUCCUUCUGCCCCACCUCUGGACAAGCUGAUAAGAAAGCCUGUGUGCUUCUUCCUUUGGCGCCAGCAGGAAGCUCAAAUCAUGCAAGCCCCAGAACACAUGAGGGAACAUAGAGAUCCAAGCCACUCACUCCUCUUUGCUCACUCAAGCCAUUUUGGGACCUGCUUGGGAGUUUGCCUUGCUCUCCCUGGAAAGUUUCAUUAUGUGAGUGGUAAAUCUUUUCAUACUCUCUUAGUGUGUGUGUGGCAUCAUCAGUCUAGAUACCCGAACCAAAUUUUGGGUGAUGGGAGGCCCAUCUUGUAGCCUUGGACUAUCUGAAAAAUAACCUGUAGACUAUCUGAAAAAUGGCAGUAGCCUUUUAACCCAUCUCCGUAGCUGGUUUCUCUGUCUGGUUUGCACACAAUGAGAGAUUCAUCUCCCCGACAUGCUGCUCUGUUUUUGUCACUUCUCCACUUAAGGUUAGAAUUAAAGCUUUUCAAUUAUUUCCCUACAAAAUCAAGUUCUAAAACCUUAGCCUGGCAUCUAAGGCCCAUAAUUUUAAUUCAAUUUAUCUUUCUAAACUUGUCUCCUCUACUAUUUUUCAAAAACCCUGUUCUUUAGCCAAAUAGCUGAACCACUGAUUCCCAAAGGAAUUUUAAUGUCUGACUUGUAUUUAUAAUUGGCCUUGUAUGUUCUUUUCCAUUGUUGUCUUAAAGUAUUACUUAUAUCUUAUGAUGUUAUUUAAGCUUUCAAUUCUUAACAAUUUUCCUCUACAAGAUUUUAAGAAGCCAGGAAACUUCUUUGUUCUUCCCAUAGGACUUAAGGCAAAGCCUGGCAUGUCAUAUGUGCUUAAUGAAUAUUUAUUCUUCUGAUUUGAUUUUACAAAGAGUCAUAAAUCUACUCCAGGAUUUCUCAAGGGCAAAUAUUAAAACAAAGGAUGAUUUUUGAUGUGAACUUUUCAGCCAAAUUUUAUGUUUUAAUGGUGCAUGACUUUCUGGAUUGGGUUUGGGAAAAUAUUUUUUCAUAUAAAAAUGAAAUGCAUCUGUCCUUUAGUCUGUUGUAUUAAACAAGUUUGAACUUUUCUCACUGUUGUAACUUAUCAAAGAUAACAUUUGCUUAGGCUGAAUUAUUAAAUCAAUUGGCUUGCUUCAAAUGUACUGAUUUUUACAGGAAUUUUUGCAAUCAUAAGCUUUUAGUACAG
ensembl:lncRNA